rnacentral:rRNA from 1 species
CAGGUCACUCCUACGGGAGGCAGCAGUGGGGAAUAUUGGACAAUGGGGGCAACCCUGAUCCAGCAAUGCCGCGUGAGUGAGGAAGGCCUUAGGGUUGUAAAGCUCUUUCGCACGCGACGAUGAUGACGGUAGCGUGAGAAGAAGCCCCGGCUAACUUCGUGCCAGCAGCCGCGGUAAUACGAAGGGGGCUAGCGUUGUUCGGAAUCACUGGGCGUAAAGGGCGCGUAGGCGGCGCGACAAGUCAGGCGUGAAAGCCCCGGGCUCAACCCGGGAAUUGCGCUUGAUACUGUCGUGCUUGAGGCCGGGAGAGGAUGGCGGAAUUCCCAGUGUAGAGGUGAAAUUCGUAGAUAUUGGGAAGAACACCGGUGGCGAAGGCGGCCAUCUGGACCGGUUCUGACGCUGGGGCGCGAAAGCGUGGGGAGCAAACAGGAUUAGAUACCCUGGUAGUCCACGCCGUAAACUAUGCGUGUUGGACGUUGGCGAGCCUAGCUCGUCGGUGUCGCAGCUAACGCGUUAAACACGCCGCCUGGGGAGUACGGCCGCAAGGUUAAAACUCAAAGGAAUUGACG